ACAUUUUUCGUGCAAGCCCGCUGUCCUCCUGCCAAGAGGCCAGUUGAGUUUUGGCCAUCUCAGGACUCCCAGUGAGGUUGUGAGGGUCCAGACAUGGGUCUGGGCUGCUGUGGAGGACUGUGGCCUGUGCCUGGCUCUACGCUCUAUGGCCUAUGCUUGACACCGCCCCCUGGGAAGGAAGACCCGGCCUCCUCUGCAGGAUCCAGCUGAAGGGCAUCGGCUCACUUGUCCAGCUGCAGCCCAUUUACUCUGCCCACCCCUGCAAAGCCAGGCUCUCCCAGACCCGAGACUGCUCAAGCACGUGCCUGGAGGUCCCAGAAACAUCACUGCCAUGUGGACCCCGGGGGACAAGUCCAUCCAGGGCCGCCUCGUGACACCCCAUUACUGUUACUGGAGUGAGUUUGAGGAAUUCCUAUGUACUAAAAAGAAAAAAGAAUCCUUGACUAAGGCACCCAGCAAACACCAGGAACUAUGUUUGCCUACAAACUGCUAUGUCUCUCUAUGGCGAGCAAGUUCCUGAAAUCCUCCCUCACAGAUUAUCUAUUGAAGUAGAUAUGGAUGUUGCCUUGGCUCGUAUGAAAGCUAAUGAAGGUGACUCCCUGCAAAGGGAUAAGGAAAUGAACAUUUCAGCUGCUCUAUGAGAUUCUGCUUUUUACAAAAAUUCAAUUUACCUAAAAAAAAAAUCAAUCUGGCAACAUCGAUUAGAAUAAGAAGUACACAUACCAUCUGACCCAGUAGUAUAGCUCCUGGGGAUCCAUCCCACAAAACACUGGCUUGGAAGGGCUUAUGCCUAAGGGCGUCUGUUGCAGCAAAAACUAGGGGAAAAAAAAACUUUAGAUAACAACUCUAUAAACUGCUCCUUGGAGUUCUGCUUUCUUCAUGCUAUUAAGCGUGUGUGUAUAGAAAGGAUUCCAGGUGCAAAAGUCCUUCAAAAACACUGAUUUAUACAAAGUCAAACAGAUGUAUUAUUCGUGGGCUUCUCAGAGCUAUUAAGAUGCUUAUUCAGAUAUUAUUCUAGGAAAUAUAUAUUGAGCCUCCACUAUGAGCCAGGAGUUGUGCUGGGGAAAAAGAACAGUGAUCAAACACGUUCCUCAGAAUAGAGAAUCCGGAAAUAAACCCUGACACCUAUGGUCAAUUAAUCUUUGACAAGGGAGGCAAGAACAUAAAAUGGGAAAAGGAAAGUCUAUUCAGCAAGCAUUGC